UCUGCUAUUGUUAUAUAUUAUUUGCUAACAAGCAAAAUAAUGAUGGCUUGUCUAGAUCUUGUAUUAGUUUCGAGUGAGAUAAUUGUGUAAUUCAGAUUUAUUUCAGACUGUGAUGUAUACUUCUGUUCAGGGGCUGGAAUAGUCUGUUUUUCCUGUACUGCAUUUUUUUAUAAUCAAAUUUAGGACCAAUUUGGAUAAGUUUCUAGUUUAUGAAAGAGCUUUUUAAUAGAAAAAAGUAUUUCAUUUCUAACCCAUGAAACAGCCCGUAUAAGGUUAUAGGUAUUUGAAUAAGUUUCUAGUUUAUGAGAGAGCUUUUUAAUAGAAAAAAGUAUUUCAUUUCUAACCCAUGAAACAGCCCGUAUAAGGUUAUAGGUAUUUGAAUAAGUUUCUAGUUUAUGAGAGAGCUUUUUAAUAGAAAAAAGUAUUUCAUUUCUAACCCAUGAAACAGCCCGUAUAAGGUUAUAGGUGUUUGUGGAGAAAAUAAACGAGAGAGGUUUUGAAAAAAAAAAAGAGGUUAAAGUUUAUCUAAACUAGCUCUUAAUUAAGUCUUCUGUCCUCAUAUUCUAAUUCAAUUAUUUCCCUUUUUACAUUGCAAUAUAAUUUAUUGACAUUACUGCAUGCAUUGUUCUUUCAUAGUGUCAUACGAUAUUGUAGUUGCAUUUUUGUCUCCCUAUAAAAUGAUUCAAAACUGCUCUUUAGCGAAAUAUUGCCAUUACACAAUUUUCUCGAUACUUCAAGUAUUUGGUUUGGGUGAUUUUAUUUUACUC